UCUGCGGGCGGAUCCCCGGGUCGGGGCGGUGCCUGCGGCCCAGUUCCGGAUGGCGGGGAUGGCGCGGCAGCCGGGCAUGAGGCGUCCGCGCUUGGGCCGGCUGGUGUGGCUGUGCCUGCCCCUGUGCCUGCUGAGCCCCGCGGCGGCGCGCCCGCCCGCCCCGCACCUUGUGCUGGUGCUGGCCGACGACCUGGGCUGGGGCGACGUGGGCUGGCACGGCUCUGCCAUCCGCACGCCGCGGCUGGACGCGCUGGGGGCGGGCGGCGUGCGGCUGGAGCGCUACUACACCCAGCCGCUGUGCACGCCGUCCCGCAGCCAGCUCCUCUCGGGCCGCUACCAGAUCCACACAGGUUUACAACACCAGAUAAUAUGGCCAUGCCAGCCCAGCUGUCUGCCACUGGAUGAGAAACUCCUCCCAGAACUACUUCAAGAAGCGGGAUAUGUUACUCACAUGGUGGGGAAGUGGCAUUUGGGGAUGUACAGAAAAGAAUGCCUUCCAACCCGCAGAGGAUUUGACACUUACUUUGGCUACCUCCUAGGCAGUGAGGAUUAUUAUACUCAUGACCGCUGUGUCCUCAUCAAAGCAAAGAAUGUGACGCGCUGUGCUCUGGACUUCCGAGAUGGAGAAGAAGUUGCAACUGGAUUUAAAAAUGUGUACUCCACAAAUUUAUUCACAGAAAGAGCUAUAGAUCUUAUAGCCAAACACAAAACUGAGAAGCCCCUCUUUCUCUAUCUUGCCUUUCAGUCUGUGCAUGAACCUCUCGAGGUUCCUGAAGAAUACAUGAAACCAUAUUCUUCCAUAAAAGAUGUAAAGAGGCGCCAUUAUGCAGGAAUGGUGACUCUUAUGGAUGAAGCAGUAGGAAAUCUUACUGAUGCUCUGAAAACAUAUGGUCUUUGGGACAACACAGUUUUUGUUUUCUCUACUGAUAAUGGAGGACAAACUUUAGCAGGGGGGAAUAACUGGCCACUGAGAGGGAGAAAAUGGACCCUCUGGGAAGGAGGAGUGAGAGGUGUAGGCUUUGUUGCAAGUCCUUUGUUGAAACAAACAGGUGUAGAAAGUCAUGAACUCAUCCAUAUCUCUGACUGGCUGCCAACGCUGGUGCACCUUGCUGGAGGACAUACCAAUGGCACUAAGCCCUUGGAUGGCUUUGAUGUUUGGAACACUAUCAGCGAAGGAAGACCUUCUCCCAGAGUGGAACUGCUGCAUAACAUAGACCCCAUGUUUGUAGAUGACUUCCCAUGUCUUGGCAUUGACAAGAGAACAUCUUUACCACAGAGCAAUUCUCCUUGGGAUGAUACACUUUUCAAUAUAUCCAUACAUGCAGCAAUAAGACAUGGAAAAUGGAAGUUACUAACUGGAUAUCCAGGCUGCAGCCACUGGUUCCCUCCACCGUCUUUGUUCAAUGAGUCACAGAUUCAAUCGUCUGAUCCAUCAACAAAGAAACUUUGGCUGUUUGAUAUUAUUCAUGAUCCUGAAGAGAAAAAUGAUGUGUCUGAAAAAUACCCUCAUGUGGUGGAAAAACUACUCUCACGGCUUCAGUAUUAUCACAAACGUUCAGUACCUGUGUUCUACCCUGAUGAGGAUCCCAACUGUGAUCCAGCAGUGACUGGGGCUUGGGGUCCUUGGGCAUAAUGCACACAGCUUUGCAUUCUGCAAAAAACCUCUGCAGCAGAGUCUGGUUUACAGAGUCCUAGUCACAUAUUUUGUACUUUCUCUAAUGAGUUAUUGCUAAUUGUGAUCUUAUUCUUGGAAUAAUUCAUUAUUUCUUAUUCUUGGUAUGUUGGGAAUCUAAUUUCAGUCUUUUCCCACUCUCAUUCCCAACAAUUAUAUGUGAAACGUUAGUAAAAUUAUAUAUAUAUUUUUUUAAUGUUCUUUGUCUGGAAUAUACUUCUAGUGCAGAAGAUAAACAUUGCCUCCUUCCUUGAAAGAAACUAAAAGUAAUUGAAUUCCUUGUAAGGAAGGCAACGGGGACAUCCAAAAUUAAUCAGUCUUGUGGAAUAUAGUGAAUUUUGGUUUCACGUUUGUCCAGAAGACAAAAUCUUCUGAAAGCUAUUAUAUAUCUGUAUUGGCAUAAAAAUUUUUGCCUUUAACAUGUACUUCCAUCCAGAAAAGGCAAGAGUGAAAAAGAAAACCUCACAAAUACAACAUAAUCUCUAUUUCUUGCUCACUCUUGAUCUAUCAGACUGGAGUAGAGCGUGAUGAUCAACUGGAGUGCAGGGCUGUCAGAUAGAAGAAUCUUGACAGCCUUAAAAAAUGUGUGAAUAAAUAUUUCAUUAAUUUCAACAAUUGCAGAGUCUGCCACUUGGAGUGCCACAGCUACAUUCAGGAGUGCAUGCUGGGCCAUGACCAAAUGGAAAGCAUUUUCAUGGGGAAAAAAUCUAAGCAUCCUUCUGAACAGUAAUUAGGACAAGAGUUGCCAUUUUCUCUUUAGGUGAAGAAAACCAACCACAUGUUUUUCCACAUAAGUGAGAAUGUAUCCAGCAGCUAGGAGAAGUCUUAAUUCCCUUCUAUCAGUGCUAAAGCAUAACAUCACAUUUUGAGCUUCCCUAUAAAGGAAAAGUAUUGACCAGUUUGAGUUAGUUCAGUGGAGAACUAUGAGUGUGAUCAUGGGGAGGAUAAAGAAAUGGGUUAGUUUAUGCUGGUGAGAAAAAUGGAAGAUGCUGUCUUCAGGUACUAAAUGUGAGAGCACAGAGAAGAGGAAGCCAGACACUUCUCAGAGAUGCACAAAGAUGAAAAGCACACAGGGAACAUGUGGAGUUCCAAUGCAAUAUAAGGAAAGGAAAAGAAAAAAAAUCACACCAUGAGUUUAAUUCAAUAUGGGAAAUGUGAGACUAUGGCAACCUUAAUCCUGGGGAUGUCCAGUGUUUGGCUGGAGAAGAUUCUGAACAAUUCUAUUCCUGAAGCUGGAUCAAAUUUGAAGUUGAUGCAGUUUGCUAGAGUGGUGAGGAGCAACCAGUGACCUCCAAAGGUCCCUUUUUGCAGGAAUUACUCAAUGAUUCUGUGCUGAACAAAACCUUACUUUUAUUACCUGCCAGGUUCUGAAUGCAGAAUAAUUCCACUGAAAACUAUUUUUUGGGGAUAAGAACAUUGCAGAUGAUUCACUACAUGCCUAAAUGUGUAACCUCCUCAUAUUUAUUCAGUUUUUGGAUCUGUGCCUCAAGCCGUGGUUGUCACUUGUUCAAAUUCUGUUACAGACCAUCCACUUCUCUGGUAAUAAAUAUGGUUUCCCCAAGUAUAAGGGUAAAAACACUUGAUUGUUUAUUCUUGUGAAUUACUCCACAUUUCUUCUUUCCCUCUAUUUACAUGAGAAAAGUAAAAUACCUGUAAUUUAAAUUAUCUAAUAGACCCAUGACUUGCAAAAUAAUUAUUCACUGGAUUUUAUUUUUUAUGACUAGACUAUGAAGAAUAAAAUAGUGUUUCCUCUUUAGCUGUUUUUUAAAGAGAGAGUGAUUCACUUAUUAUGUUCAGAUUAGCACUAAUGGAGGUUCAGGGCCACUAUCAGUCUUUAAUUAAUGCGACAGAUGAGAGAUAAAAAGGUGAUCCUUACUUGUUUUAACUGCAUGUACUCUGUCUGUGCAUCCUGAAGACCACUUGGCCUACAAUCACUUAAAAAAAAUACCAUGAUUUGGCUCUGAAUCACAUGUUUUGAUAGAAAUCAGAUAGCCAAAACCACAAGAAUCUUAACUUUUUAGAAAUGGUGACUGUUCCAAAAGCGUGAAUCCAGAAGACUGGCAUACAUACAGUAAGUAGAGGACGCACAUAAAAGCUCCUGAUAUACCUGAUAGCUUUCAGUUUUAUUAAUUUUUCUGCUGUUAGAUCACUGGAAAAACAUGAGCACCUUGCCGUACAGGGCUGGGAUUUUUCGUUUGCUGUUCUAAGGGCAGAAUAUAUACUCUGCAUAUUAACAGUUACUUCAAUCUUAAUUUUUUAUGUCAGAACUUGGUCAGAAACUGCUUCAUGGAACCAUUUCUUCAUGAUCUUGCACCUUUCCUCCUGCAGCACUAGAAGUUACUGUGUACGGUGUCCUGGACAUGCUCUGAAUUCACUGACAGAACAUGAUGCAAUCACUCCGUCGAAACAAAGAGGUGUUUCUUCUUAGUUCACUGCAUUAUACUUAACAAUUUUGUCCUUUAGGAUUUUCUCCAAGUGCUCCAAUUAUUGCAACAAUUCAUAGCGAAAUGUGCCUCUCAGGAAAGAUCAUCAGCUGAAUUAAUUUUGAUGUUAAGAUAUGGCCUGUGCUUACUUGUCAUUCAUUGGCUUUGCAAAUGUACCCACCAAUUUCUUGUGUAACCAUCCCCUGAAUCCCACAUAAGAAAAGGCUAGGAAAAAAAAAAAUCUUAGGAGAAACGGAACCAGUUGAAAUUCGUAAUUUUGUUAAAAUGUACUCACCUAGCAAAACCCCAUCUUUUGAAGAUUUCUGUGGGAUAAUUAGACUGCCUUAUUACUGCAUGGUGCUGCCAUGUAUAUUUUGUGUAUUUAGUAUUGUUUUGUGAACUACUGUUGGUGUGCUGUAUAAUUAUUGAAUCUGGCUAUGAUACCAAGCUCUAAGGUUUAGCCAAGGUACCUCAGUAAGGUCUUAUACACUGAAAUAGCAAUUUAUAUUAUUUCAGGUUUGGAAGUUGGAAUUUUCUUUGUUCAUUACCUCUUUAUGGUUAUUUUGCUGCUGCAGGAAAAGCAUGCGCUAAUAACUAUGUAAUACUGUUGGUCAAAUGUGUGCCUUAUUUUCCUCCAUAAUUAAUUUCUUCCUUUCUAUUUCAUCUUAAGUAGCCAUAUUAUUAUCAUCAUUAACAAUGUUUACUUUUAAUCAGUUGUGGUAUUUUAAUUCUCAGCUCUUACUUAUUUUUCCCUAUUAUUCUCAAUAACUGCAAUGUUCUUGCACUUUCAGUAUCGCCUGAAUCUAAAUGCAAAUAGUUUGUUUCCAAGCUAUUGUUUUGAUUCUGUCUUAUCUGUUCAAAUAAGGAAAGCGUGAAUUCCUAGAAUUA